UACGGAGGGGGCUAGCGUUGUUCGGAAUUACUGGGCGUAAAGCGCACGUAGGCGGCUUUGCAAGUCAGAGGUGAAAGCCCGGGGCUCAACCCCGGAAUUGCCUUUGAGACUGCAUCGCUAGAAUUGUGGAGAGGUAAGUGGAAUUCCGAGUGUAGAGGUGAAAUUCGUAGAUAUUCGCAAGAACACCAGUGGCGAAGGCGGCUCACUGGACCACAACUGACGCUGAGGCGCGAAAGCUAGGGGAGCAAACAGG
rnacentral:rRNA from 1 species